rnacentral:ncRNA from 1 species
GCGGAGGAAAAGAAAGCAACAGCGAUAGCCUCAGUAACGGCGAGUGAAGCGGCUACAGCUCAAAUUUGAAAUCUGGCUCCCUUUGGGCGUCCGAGUUGUAAUUUGCAGAGGAUGCUUUGGCAUUGGCGGCGGUCUAAGUUCCUUGGAACAGGACAUCGCAGAGGGUGAGAAUCCCGUACGUGGGCGCCUGCCUUUGCCGUGUAAAGCUCCUUCGACGAGUCGAGUUGUUUGGGAAUGCAGCUCUAAAUGGGAGGUAAAUUUCUCCUAAAGCUAAAUACCGGCCAGAGACCGAUAGCGCACAAGUAGAGUGAUCGAAAGAUGAAAAGUACUUUGGAAAGAGAGUCAAAUAGCACGUGAAAUUGUUGAAAGGGAAGCGCUUGCAGCCAGACUUGCCCGCAGUUGCUCACCCAGGCUUUUGCCUGGGGCACUCUUCUGCGGGCAGGCCAGCAUCAGUUUGGGCGGUCGGAUAAAGGUCUCUGUCAUGUACCACCCCUCGGGGUGGCCUUAUAGGGGAGACGCAAUGCGACCAGCCCGGACUGAGGUCCGCGCAUCUGCUAG